GACGAACGCUGGCGGCGUGCUUAACACAUGCAAGUCGAACGAAGAGCGAUGGAAGCUUGCUUCUAUCAAUCUUAGUGGCGAACGGGUGAGUAACGCGUAAUCAACCUGCCCUUCAGAGGGGGACAACAGUUGGAAACGACUGCUAAUACCGCAUACGAUCCAAUCUCGGCAUCGGGACUGGAUGAAAGGUGGCCUCUAUUUAUAAGCUAUCACUGAAGGAGGGGAUUGCGUCUGAUUAGCUAGUUGGAGGGGUAACGGCCCACCAAGGCGAUGAUCAGUAGCCGGUCUGAGAGGAUGAACGGCCACAUUGGGACUGAGACACGGCCCAGACUCCUACGGGAGGCAGCAGUGGGGAAUCUUCCGCAAUGGACGAAAGUCUGACGGAGCAACGCCGCGGGAGUGAUGACGGCCUUCGGGUUGUAAAGCUCUGUUAAUCGGGACGAAUGGUUCUUGUGCGAAUAGGGCGAGGAUUUGACGGUACCGGAAGAGAAAGCCACGGCUAACUACGUG
rnacentral:rRNA from 1 species